CCGCUUGCAAGGAAACAGAUGGACCCACGAAGUCCUGUUGGUAAUGAGAUUCACAUUUACUGAAUUGCUAUAGUAAUUGAUAAUCCUUCCUGGAGGACUCUUUUACUGCUGGCAGUUUUGUGGAUGCAUUUCUCAUUAUCACGUUGGAGCUCUGACUUCUUGAUCUAACCUUCUUGCUUAUGACAGCUUAAGUGAAUGGUUGAUUCGAAAGAAUCUCUUCAUUCAUUUGAGUUAGUGAGAAGGUUUUAAAGAGGUUGAAUUACUUGCAUUUGUGAGUAUCAGAUUGUCGAUAUCUAUUUGGAGUAGAAUGUAUGCAAUUUGUGAAUUUCGAUUCUUGUAAUUGAAACCACUUAAUGUACUACGUUCAUAUGCUUUGAGUAGAUAUCAACGAUGAUCCAGAGUAAGUAGGUCGGUCAUCCAUCUGACCCGUCUUGAAACACGGACCAAGGAGCCCAACAUUUACGCGAGUCGCUCGGUCUUGAACAGGCCUGAGAGGCGAAAUUAACAUAAUGGUAUGAUCCUUCGAAAUCGUUCGCGAUCAGAAGGCGCAAUACCGACCUGCUUUAUUGCUUGCAAUAAAGUGGCGUUUGAGCGUAAAUGUUGGUACCCGAAAGAUGGUGAACUAUACUUGGGCAGGACGAAGCCAGAGGAAACUCUGGUGGAGGUCUGUAGCGGUUCUGACGUGCAAAUCGAUCGUCAGACCUGAGUAUAGGGGCGAAAGACUAAUCGAACCAUCUAGUAGCUGGUUCACUCCGAAGUUUCCCUCAGGAUAGCUGGUACUAAACUCUGUAGCAUCUGGUAAAGCGAAUGAUUAGAGGUAUUGGGAUCGAAACGAUCUCAACCUAUUCUCAUACUUUAAAUAGGUGCGGAGCUUGACUUGAUUUUCGUAUUGUUAAGUCUUGCUUUGUAAGAGAAGUACCAAGUGGGCCAUAUUUGGUAAGCAGAUCAGGCGCUGUGGGAUGAACCAAACGUGAAGUUAAGGAACCAAAUGCCGACGCUCAUGAGACCCCAUGAAAGGUGUUGGUUGCUAUAGACAGC
rnacentral:rRNA from 1 species